rnacentral:lncRNA from 1 species
CUCAAGUCUCAUAAUAAUUUUAAAUAAAUUUUUUUUUAUUAAUCACACUGCUAUAGCCAUAAACUUGUGGACUCAGCUUUUCAUAUCUUAUAAGACUACUCCUUUCUAUCAAGCUCAAUAGAUCCCAUCUAGAUGCAAACCUUGCUCCCAUAGCUCAGCCAACUGAAGCCAACAUCCACUAUAAAAAUUCAUAAUUGAGUGAAUAC